rnacentral:rRNA from 1 species
UUUCCCGGUUGAUCCCGCCGGAGAUCACUGCUAUUGGAAUCCGGUUAAGGCAUGCGAGUCGAGAGGGUACGGCCCUCGGCAUACGGCUCAGUAACACGUGGAUAAUCUGCCCUUUAGGUGGGGGAUAAUCUCGAGAAAUUGAGCAUAAUACCCCAUAGUUCUAGAUUGCUGGAAUGCUUCUAAAAUUAAAGCCCCGGCGCCUAAGGAUGAGUCUGCGGCCUAUCAGGUUGUAGUGAGUGUAACGGACUCACUAGCCGACGACGGGUACGGGUCCUGGAAGGGAGUGCCCGGAGAUGGACUCUGAGACACGAGUCCAGGCCCUACGGGGCGCAGCAGCUACGAAAACUUCACAAUGCGGGAAACCGUGAUGAGGGGAUUCCAAGUGCUAAUACUUUGUAUUAGCUGUUUACUUGUCUAAAAAACAGGUAGAGUAAGGGCUGGGUAAGACUGGUGCCAGCCGCCGCGGUAAUACCAGCAGCUCAAGUGGUGAUCGCUAUUAUUGGGCCUAAAGCGUCCGUAGCCGGUUUGGUAAACCCUUGGGUAAAUCGGGCAGCUCAACUGUCCGACUUCUGAGGAGACUGCCAGACUUGGGACCGGGAGAGGUCAGAGGUACUUCUAGGGUAGAGGUGAAAUUCUGUAAUCCUAGGAGGACCACCAGUGGCGAAGGCGUCUGACUAGAACGGGUCCGACGGUAAGGGACGAAACCCUGGGGCGCGAACCGGAUUAGAUACCCGGGUAGUCCAGGGCGUAAACGCUGCGGGCUUGGUGUUGGGGGUCCCACGAGGGCGUCCAGUGCCGGAGAGAAGUUGUUAAGCCCGCCGCCUGGGGAGUACGAUCGCAAGAUUGAAACUUAAAGGAAUUGGCGGGGGAGCACAGCAACGGGUGGAGCGUGCGGUUUAAUUGGAUUCAACGCCGGA